GCAGGUAUGGAGACAUGGUCCCGAAGACCAUAGCAGGGAAGAUCUUUGGCUCCAUCUGUUCCCUCAGCGGGGUGCUGGUCAUCGCUCUGCCUGUUCCUGUCAUAGUUUCCAAU
rfam:Danio rerio chromosome 8, GRCz11 reference primary assembly.